AAUAAUACAGAAUCCUAGAGUUGGAAGAGACACCCUUCAAAGUCGCAUAAGGUUAGUAUUAGUAAGCAUAACAACAACAACAAUACAAAAUCCAGCAUAUAGAUCUUGUUUGCUGUGUCAUACUAUGUCUUUGUGUCAAUAAUAAUAAUAAUCCAACAUAUAUAUCUCAUUUGCUGUGUCAUACUGUCUUUGUGUCAAUAAUAAUAAUAAUACAGAAUCCUAGAGUUGGAAGAGACACCUUUCAAAGUCGCAUAAGAACAGAUCCCUGGAUUCGAACCUGUCGCAUUGCGCUCUGAACGAGAGCCACGGGGUCCACCUUAACAUCCCCGAAUCAUCCCAUUUUCCAUAACUUUGGGUCCAAGCAGCUGCUCAUGUCACCAGGCCGGACCCGCUCCUCCUCACAUGGCGAAGACAGCUAAUAAGAUUCCCGAUGAAUGAUCCGCACGCAUUUCUGCCCGGCUAAUUUCCGAUGAACCGACAAUCUUUCAGCAAACCCGGCGCGCUGUUUGCACUGGGCUCGGCGAGACAAAGCGAAGACGCUGAGUAAUUUCCAGAACGAGAGGUGUUUCGGCGUGACCUUCAUUCAACGGGGAGUUUGUUCAGGUGCGAAGCCACAAUCGUUCCGUCACAUCAAAUGCCUGGGCAAGCCCUGUUUACGAGGGACGGAGGAGAACUUGCACUGAGAAACCAUUGGAAAGAAAGAAGUGCUCGAGGGUUUUGUGGAAACGGAAUGCGCGGAUACGGAGAACUUAUUGUAAAAUAUAUUCUGCGGCCUCACCGUUACUACGAGGCUUCUCUCAUGCUCCAAAAAGACCGUAAUCACCCCAAAAUCUAUAGAACAGAAGCUCUCCAAAGAUUGAGGUGCUCUUAGUGCUGAUUAUUCAUCCAUCCAAUUGAUUAUUCAAAGCUCAUCUGAAGCUUUAGGUGCUCUUACUGUCUAUUACAGGGAAAAGCAGCUGAGUCCUAAUCCAUAUAAUUGAAUAUUCAAAGCUCAUCUGAAGCUUUAGGUGCUCUUACUGCCUAUUAGACAUGUCCAAAAAAUCGUUUUGAAUCGUAUAUCGGAAUUAUUUCGGAUAGUUCUCGCUUUUUGAUAUGCAUUCCAAGACAUUGUCUCACAGCGCAACCAGCAAUGUAAUUCGAACCAUUGUUGGCCCAUUCUCUAAUUGUCUAAUAUUUUUAAAAAUAUUUUUUUAAAAUUUUUUUGUUUCUGCAACCUACCUUGAAUGGGAGCUUAGCGCAGCCUAACAUGGCUGCCGCUCCCCGGCCAAUCAGAAGCUUCCAUGAUGGAUGCAAAGGUGGGGGCUAACGUCCUCUGCGUCCACAUGGAAGAUUGCCAUACAAGCCCAGUGUGUAGCGAUUGCGCAUGCGCAUUCGCCAUUUUAGAAACAUUUAGAAUCAUUACGAAUUUUUGGAAAUAUCUGAAAUUUUUGGGUGAAAAAAUCAGAAAUACUUUCUAUAUCGAAGCGCCAGAGCCCCCUACUUUAGAAACGAGAAUUGAAACAUUUUUUUCAUUGAUCGGACAUGCCUACUGCCUAUUACAGAGAAAAGCAACUGAUUCGUAAUCAAUGUUACUGAAUAUUCAAAGCUCAUCUAUGCUGACGAUCGAGCCAUCACCGCCCAAAUAGGGAGCUUUGAAUGGUCAGAUGAUAAUUUUCUGAAGCUUUAGGUUCUCUUACUGCCUAUUACAGGGAAAAGCAACUAAUUCGUAAUCAAUGUUAUUGAAUAUUCAAAGCUCAUCUAUGUUGACGAUCAUGCCAUCACUGCCCAAACAGGGAGCUUUGAAAUAGUCAAACGGAAAAUUUCUGAAGCUUUAGGUUCUCUUACUGCCUAUUACAGGGAAAAGCAACUAAUUCGUAAUCAAUGUUAUUGAAUAUUCAAAGCUCAUCUAUGUUGACGAUCAUGCCAUCACUGCCCAAACAGGGAGCUUUGAAAUAGUCAAACGGAAAAUUUCUGAAGCUUUAGGUUCUCUUACUGCCUAUUACAGGGAAAAGCAACUAAUUCGUAAUCAAUGUUAUUGAAUAUUCAAAGCUCAUCCAUGUUGAUGAUCAAGCCAUCACCGUCCAAGCUUUGAAUGGUCAGAUGAAAGUUUUCUGAAGCUUUAGGUGCUCUUACUGCCUAUUACAGAGAAAAUCAGCUGAUUCCUAAUCCAUCUAAUUGAAUAUUCCAAGCUCUCCGAACCUUUUUACAGCAACAUCAGAAGCACUCCAAGUGGCCAGCUACUGGUCAGACAUUUAGUAUAAUGCCAAGUUCUUCUUCUUCUUGUUGUUGUUUUUAAACUUUGUGAUUUCAAAUACAUUACAACUUUGAUGCAUGCCACACAUACACUCUCCUUGGAAAGAGAGUGUGUGUGUGGCAUGCUGGGCCCAGAACUCAGCGGUGAUUUGAUGGGAAGGGAAGGCCCAAUGGAGAAAAAGCAAGUGGAUAAUAAUAAUAAU